rnacentral:rRNA from 1 species
AACGAACGCUGGCGGCAGGCCUAACACAUGCAAGUCGAGCGCCCCAGCGAUGGGGAGCGGCGGACGGGUGAGUAACGCGUGGGAACGUGCCUCUUGCUACGGAAUAGCCUCGGGAAACUGGGAGUAAUACCGUAUGUGCCCUACGGGGGAAAGAUUUAUCGGCAAGAGAUCGGCCCGCGUUGGAUUAGGUAGUUGGUGGGGUAAUGGCCUACCAAGCCGACGAUCCAUAGCUGGUUUGAGAGGAUGAUCAGCCACACUGGGACUGAGACACGGCCCAGACUCCUACGGGAGGCAGCAGUGGGGAAUCUUAGACAAUGGGCGCAAGCCUGAUCUAGCCAUGCCGCGUGAGCGAUGAAGGCCUUAGGGUUGUAAAGCUCUUUCAGUGGGGAAGAUAAUGACUGUACCCACAGAAGAAGCCCGGCUAACUCCGUG